UCCUCUGCCUCCUCCUAUUUCCAGUUUUUUAUUGAUUCUUGCCUAUUGUGUUGAGUUAUAUGGGCUGGCUGGUUGUCAUUGAGCUCCUCCUUCACCUGAUUUAUUCUCUCGUGAAGGCUUGCAGGAUCCCAUCUUGAUUUCCGAUCUCAUUAGAUAAGAGUCACAUGAGGGUGAUUUGAGCAAACAGUUGAUGUCCCUUGAUGUUGUAUGCGAUGUGCAGCUGCAGAGGUUCAGUCCAUGCAUCUUCUGCAAGGUAAAAUUGUACAUGGUAAUAUGGUGUAUAAUCCAGAUGGUGCCAUACAAGCUAUCAUUUGUAUUUGUUCAUGGGGAACCUUUUGUUGCAGAGUAUGCUCGUAUCCGACCAUCAGCUUGUGAAGGGAUCAUAAUAUAUGCCACCUCUCUAUACUGAACACGAUUGGAUUCUGAUGUAUCCUAGCAAUACUCCUCCCUGCCCUCCUCUCACUUGUUCAGGUAGUUAUCCUUCCUUUGCCUCUCUUCUUCAUAUUCUAGAUCUGAAAUCUAUGUCGUAAGCAUUAAGAGUAGAAAAACACUGUAAAGAUGAUAUUAGCUUCUACUGAUGUUGGUACCUUCUGUGGCAAACUAUGUAGUUUUCUACAUAUUUUGUAUAUGUCCUUGGUGAAACCUUUACAUGGCGGAAUAUUAAUUGCUUAUACCUAUGUGUUAGGUUUAUAUCUUCAUGACUAUUUUAAGUUGUUCAGAGGUCGUCCCAAAGAUGAUUGACAACUUCCAUUUCCUGUGCACUGGAGAAAAAGGGGAUGUAUACAAGGGCUGCUUCUUCCACCGAAUCAUCAAAGGAUUUCA